rnacentral:rRNA from 1 species
CCUACGGGAGGCAGCAGUGAGGAAUAUUUGUCAAUGGACGCAAGUCUGAACCAGCCAUGCCGCGUGCAGGAAGACGGCUCUAUGAGUUGUAAACUGCUUUUGUACGAGGGUAAACGCAGAUACGCGUAUCUGUCUGAAAGUAUCGUACGAAUAAGGAUCGGCUAACUCCGUGCCAGCAGCCGCGGUAAUACGGAGGAUUCAAGCGUUAUCCGGAUUUAUUGGGUUUAAAGGGUGCGUAGGCGGUCGGAUAAGUUAGAGGUGAAAUCCCGAGGCUCAACUUCGGAAUUGCCUCUGAUACUGUUCGGCUAGAGAGUAGUUGCGGUAGGCGGAAUGUAUGGUGUAGCGGUGAAAUGCUUAGAGAUCAUACAGAACACCGAUUGCGAAGGCAGCUUACCAAGCUACUUCUGACGUUGAGGCACGAAAGCGUGGGUAGCAAACAGGAUUAGAUACCCUAGUAGU